rnacentral:lncRNA from 1 species
GCAGUAGAAGUAUUCCGUCUGACUUUGAUCGGACUUAGAUUUUUAGGUCUGACUGGACUUGGGUGCCCCAGUACUUUGCACUCUUUUCUUGUUCUUCUUAUUCUUUUUCCCUUUCUUAAAAGAUCGACGUCCAGAAGAAGAUCCUCCCACAAUAUUUAAUGACUCCUUGUGGAGCUAGUGAUCUUUCUCAAAGUUCUGCAGCAACUCUAGCAAACCGUGGUAGUUGACCGCAGGCUUUGUCAUUUAAAAAUGAGUAAGGAAAGAAAGGUAGGACUUGGAUAGAGAGUUCAGAAUGGUAUCUUUUUUCAGCUACUCAUGCAAGAAAAAGUUGAGCUUGCUUAAGCACUCAAUCAUCUCGAUCAUAUAUCGUACAUAAUCGGUGACUGACGCUCCUUACCUCGUUUGAGCAUUGAAGAUGGCACAAUUAGUCUUGUGCCUCUCAACAUCGUUGGGUGUGCCAAAGGACUCGUUUAACAUUUGCAACAUGUUCUGUGGCUGAGCAUUCCUAAAACGAUGGCUAACCUCAUCAUUCAUUACCAUCAGCAUAAUACAAUGAACCGUAGUUCGAUCAUUGAACCACUUUUGAUAAGUGUCUCUGAUCGUGCUACAUGCAUUCGGAGCUGGCUCUUCGGGUACCGGAUCUGUCAACACAUAUAAGAUAUGUUCGUGCUUCAGAACUAUUUUGAGCUUUCGAUACCGACUAUUGAAUUUGAUCCCAUCAAUUUAUCACUAUCUAAUAGUGAUCAGAGUGACAAGAUAAUGGUCAUAACUGUAAAAAAAAAAUUAAAAUCUAAUUAGUAUAUGAAUUGAUUAAGCCAAA